rnacentral:rRNA from 1 species
GGGGAAUUUUGGACAAUGGGCGCAAGCCUGAUCCAGCAAUGCCGCGUGAGUGAGGAAGGCCUUAGGGUUGUAAAGCUCUUUCACCCACGACGAUGAUGACGGUAGUGGGAGAAGAAGCCCCGGCUAACUUCGUGCCAGCAGCCGCGGUAAUACGAAGGGGGCGAGCGUUGUUCGGAUUUACUGGGCGUAAAGCGCACGUAGGCGGCUUUGUAAGUUAGAGGUGAAAGCCCGGGGCUCAACUCCGGAAUUGCCUUUAAGACUGCAUCGCUAGAAUUGUGGAGAGGUAAGUGGAAUUCCGAGUGUAGAGGUGAAAUUCGUAGAUAUUCGGAAGAACACCAGUGGCGAAGGCGACUUACUGGACACAUAUUGACGCUGAGGUGCGAAAGCGUGGGGAGCAAAC